GACGAACGCUGGCGGCGUGCCUAAUACAUGCAAGUCGAACGAAGCUGUUUUAACUGGUGCUUGCACCGACUUAAACAACUGAGUGGCGAACGGGUGAGUAACACGUGGGUAACCUGCCCCAAAGCGGGGGAUAACAUUUGGAAACAGAUGCUAAUACCGCAUAACCACAGAAACCACAUGGUUUCUGUGUCAAAGAUGGUUUCGGCUAUCACUUUGGGAUGGACCCGCGGCGUAUUAGCUAGUUGGUAAGGUAAUGGCUUACCAAGGCAAUGAUACGUAGCCGAACUGAGAGGUGGAUCGGCCACAUUGGGACUGAGACACGGCCCAAACUCCUACGGGAGGCAGCAGUAGGGAAUCUUCCACAAUGGACGAAAGCCUGAUGGAGCAACACCGCGUGAGUGAAGAAGGGUUUCGGCUCGUAAAACUCUGUUGUUAAAGAAGAACGUAUCUAAGAGUAACUGCUUAGGUAGUGACGGUAUUUAACCAGAAAGCCACGGCUAACUACGUGCCAGCCGCCGCGGUAA
rnacentral:rRNA from 1 species